AAUCCAUAGGUUAAUGAGGCGAACCGGGGGAACUGAAACAUCUAAGUACCCCGAGGAAAAGAAAUCAACCGAGAUUCCCCCAGUAGCGGCGAGCGAACGGGGAGGAGCCCAGAGCCUGAAUCAGCAUGUGUGUUAGUGGAAGCGUCUGGAAAGGCGCGCGAUACAGGGUGACAGCCCCGUACACAAAAGCGCAUGUGCUGUGAGCUCGAUGAGUAGGGCGGGACACGUGGUAUCCUGUCUGAAUAUGGGGGGACCAUCCUCCAAGGCUAAAUACUCCUGACUGACCGAUAGUGAACCAGUACCGUGAGGGAAAGGCGAAAAGAACCCCGGCGAGGGGAGUGAAAAAGAACCUGAAACCGUGUACGUACAAGCAGUGGGAGCACCCUUUGGGGUGUGACUGCGUACCUUUUGUAUAAUGGGUCAGCGACUUAUAUUCUGUAGCAAGGUUAACCGAAUAGGGGAGCCGGAGGGAAACCGAGUCUUAAUUGGGCGUUAAGUUGCAGGGUAUAGACCCGAAACCCGGUGAUCUAGCCAUGGGCAGGUUGAAGGUUGGGUAACACUAACUGGAGGACCGAACCGACUAAUGUUGAAAAAUUAGCGGAUGACCUGUGGCUGGGGGUGAAAGGCCAAUCAAACCGGGAGAUAGCUGGUUCUCCCCGAAAGCUAUUUAGGUAGCGCCUCGUGAAUUCAUCUCCGGGGGUAGAGCACUGUUUCGGCUAGGG
rnacentral:rRNA from 1 species